UACGUAGGUGGCAAGCGUUGUCCGGAUUUACUGGGUGUAAAGGGCGUGUAGCCGGGCUUACAAGUCAGAUGUGAAAUCCGGGGGCUCAACCCCCGAACUGCAUUUGAAACUGUAGGUCUUGAGUAUCGGAGAGGCAGGCGGAAUUCCUAGUGUAGCGGUGAAAUGCGUAGAUAUUAGGAGGAACACCAGUGGCGAAGGCGGCCUGCUGGACGGUGACUGACGCUGAGGCUCGAAAGCGUGGGGAGCAAACAGG
rnacentral:rRNA from 1 species